UUCACUAGCAAUAGUUUUGCGUUUUCGUGGGUGGGUUCAAUUCACUAGCAAUAGUUUUACGUUCCCGUGAGUGGGUUCAAUUGACUAGCAAUAGUUUUGCGUUCCCGUGAGUGGGUUCAAUUCACUAGCAAUAGUUUUGCGUUCCCGUGGGUGGGUUCAAUUCACUAGCAAUAGUUUUACGUUCCCGUGAGUGGGUUCAAUUCACUAGCAAUUGUUUUACGUUCCCGUGAGUGGGUUCAAUUCACUAGCAAUAGUUUUAAGUUCCCGUGAGUGGUCACUAGCAAUAGUUUUGCGUUCCCGUGGGUGGGUUCAAUUCACUAGCAAUAGUUUUAAGUUCUUGUGAGUGGUCAUUAGCAAUAGUUUUGCGUUCCCGUGAGUGGGUUCAAUUCACUAGCAAUAGUUUUGCGUUCCCGUGGGUGGGUUCAAUUCACUAGCAAUAGUUUUAAGUUCUUGUGAGUGGUCAUUAGCAAUAGUUUUGCGUUCCCAUGAGUGGGUUCAAUUCACUAGCAAUAGUUUUGCAUUCCCGUGGGUGGGUUCAAUUCACUAGCAAUAGUUUUGCGUUCUCGUGAGUGGGUUCAAUUCACUAGCAAUAGUUUUGCAUUCCCUUGAGUGGGUUUAAUUCACUAGCAAUAGUUUUACGUUCCCGUGAGUGGGUUCAAUUCACUAGCAAUAGUUUUAAGUUCCCGUGAGUGGGUUCAAUUCACUAGCAAUAGUUUUGCGUUCCCGUGGGUGGGUUCAAUUCACUAGCAAUAGUUUUUCGUUCCCGUGAGUGGGUUCAAUUCACUAGCAAUAGUUUUGCGUUCCCGUGGGUGGGUUUAAUUCACUAGCAAUAGUUUUGUGUUCCCGUGGGUGGGUUCAAUUCACCAGCAAUAGUUUUACGUUCCCGUGAGUGGGUUCAAUUCACUAGCAAUAGUUUUAAGUUCUCGUGAGUGGUCACUAGCAACAGUUUUGCGUUCCCGUGGGUGGGUUCAAUUCACUAGCAAUAGUUUUGCGUUCCCGUGGGUGGGUUCAAUUCACUAGCAAUAGUUUUGCGUUUCCGUGGGUGGGUUCAAUUCACUAGCAAUAGUUUUAAGUUCCCGUGAGUGGUCACUAGCAAUAGUUUUGCGUUCCCGUGGAUGGGUUCAAUUCACUAGCAAUAGUUUUGCGUUCUUGUGAGUGGGUUCAAUUCACUAGCAAUAGUUUUGGUUCAAUUCACUAGCAAUAGUUUUACGUUCCCGUGAGUGGGUUCAAUUCACUAGCAAUAGUUUUGCGUUCCCGUGGGUGGGUUCAAUUCACUAGCAAUAGUUUUGCGUUCCCGUGGGUGGGUUCAAUUCACUAGCAAUAGUUUUACGUUCCCGUGAGUGGGUUCAAUUCACUAGCAAUAGUUUUAAGUUCCCGUGAGUGGUCACUAGCAAUAGUUUUGCGUUCCCAUGAGUGGGUUCAAUUCACUAGCAAUAGUUUUGCGUUCCCGUGGGUGGGUUCAAUUCACUAGCAAUAGUUUUAAGUUCUUGUGAGUGGUCAUUAGCAAUAGUUUUGCGUUCCCAUGAGUGGGUUCAAUUCACUAGCAAUAGUUUUGCAUUCCCGUGGGUGGGUUCAAUUCACUAGCAAUAGUUUUAAGUUCUUGUGAGUGGUCAUUAGCAAUAGUUUUGCGUUCCCAUGAGUGGGUUCAAUUCACUAGCAAUAGUUUUGCAUUCCCGUGGGUGGGUUCAAUUCACUAGCAAUAGUUUUAAGUUCUCGUGAGUGGUCACUAGCAAUAGUUUUGCGUUCCCGUGGGUGGGUUCAAUUCACUAGCAAUAGUUUUGCGUUCCCGUGGGUGGGUUCAAUUCACUAGCAAUAGUUUUGCGUUCCCGUGAGUGGGUUCAAUUCACUAGCAAUAGUUUUGCGUUCCCGUGGGUGAGUUCAAUUCACUAGCAAUAGUUUUACGUUCCCGUGAGUGGGUUCAAUUCACUAGCAAUAGUUUUGCGUUCUUGUGAGUGGGUUCAAUUCACUAGCAAUAGUUUUGCGUUCCCGUGAGUGGGUUCAAUUCACUAGCAAUAGUUUUACGUUCCCGUGAGUAGGUUCAAUUCACUAGCAAUAGUUUUAAGUUGCCGUGAGUGGGUUCAAUUCACUAGCAAUAGUUUUAAGUUGCCGUGAGUGCAUGGGUUCACUUCACUAGCAAUAGUUUUACGUUCCCGUGAGUGGGUUCAAUUCACUAGCAAUAGUUUUACGUUCCCUAUGAGUGGGUUCAAUUCACUAGCAAUAGUUUUGCGUUCCCGUGAGUGGGUUCAAUUCACUAGCAAUAGUUUUGGUUCAAUUCACUAGCAAUAGUUUUACGUUCCCGUGAGUGGGUUCAAUUCACUAGCAAUAGUUUUGCGUUCCCGUGGGUGGGUUCAAUUCACUAGCAAUAGUUUUGCGUUCCCGUGGGUGGGUUCAAUUCACUAGCAAUAGUUUUACGUUCCCGUGAGUGGGUUCAAUUCACUAGCAAUAGUUUUACGUUCCCGUGAGUGGGUUCAAUUCACUAGCAAUAGUUUUAAGUUCCCGUGAGUGGUCACUAGCAAUAGUUUUGCGUUCCCAUGAGUGGGUUCAAUUCACUAGCAAUAGUUUUGCGUUCCCGUGGGUGGGUUCAAUUCACUAGCAAUAGUUUUAAGUUCUUGUGAGUGGUCAUUAGCAAUAGUUUUGCGUUCCCAUGAGUGGGUUCAAUUCACUAGCAAUAGUUUUGCAUUCCCGUGGGUGGGUUCAAUUCACUAGCAAUAGUUUUAAGUUCUCGUGAGUGGUCACUAGCAAUAGUUUUGCGUUCCCGUGGGUGGGUUCAAUUCACUAGCAAUAGUUUUGCGUUCCCGUGGGUGGGUUCAAUUCACUAGCAAUAGUUUUGCGUUCCCGUGAGUGGGUUCAAUUCACUAGCAAUAGUUUUGCGUUCCCGUGGGUGAGUUCAAUUCACUAGCAAUAGUUUUACGUUCCCGUGAGUGGGUUCAAUUCACUAGCAAUAGUUUUGCGUUCUUGUGAGUGGGUUCAAUUCACUAGCAAUAGUUUUGCGUUCCCGUGAGUGGGUUCAAUUCACUAGCAAUAGUUUUACGUUCCCGUGAGUGGGUUCAAUUCACUAGCAAUAGUUUUAAGUUGCCGUGAGUGGGUUCAAUUCACUAGCAAUAGUUUUAAGUUGCCGUGAGUGCAUGGGUUCACUUCACUAGCAAUAGUUUUACGUUCCCGUGAGUGGGUUCAAUUCACUAGCAAUAGUUUUACGUUCCCUUGAGUGGGUUCAAUUCACUAGCAAUAGUUUUGCGUUCCCGUGGGUGGGUUCAAUUCACUAGCAAUAGUUUUAAGUUCUUGUGAGUGGUCAUUAGCAAUAGUUUUGCGUUCCCAUGAGUGGGUUCAAUUCACUAGCAAUAGUUUUGCAUUCCCGUGGGUGGGUUCAAUUCACUAGCAAUAGUUUUAAGUUCUCGUGAGUGGUCACUAGCAAUAGUUUUGCGUUCCCGUGGGUGGGUUCAAUUCACUAGCAAUAGUUUUGCGUUCCCGUGGGUGGGUUCAAUUCACUAGCAAUAGUUUUGCGUUCCCGUGAGUGGGUUCAAUUCACUAGCAAUAGUUUUGCGUUCCCGUGGGUGAGUUCAAUUCACUAGCAAUAGUUUUACGUUCCCGUGAGUGGGUUCAAUUCACUAGCAAUAGUUUUGCGUUCUUGUGAGUGGGUUCAAUUCACUAGCAAUAGUUUUGCGUUCCCGUGAGUGGGUUCAAUUCACUAGCAAUAGUUUUACGUUCCCGUGAGUGGGUUCAAUUCACUAGCAAUAGUUUUAAGUUGCCGUGAGUGGGUUCAAUUCACUAGCAAUAGUUUUAAGUUGCCGUGAGUGCAUGGGUUCACUUCACUAGCAAUAGUUUUACGUUCCCGUGAGUGGGUUCAAUUCACUAGCAAUAGUUUUACGUUCCCUUGAGUGGGUUCAAUUCACUAGCAAUAGUUUUGCGUUCCCGUGAGUGGGUUCAAUUCACUAGCAAUAGUUUUGCGUUCCCGUGAGUGGGUUCAAUUCACUAGCAAUAAUUUUACGUUCCCGUGAGUGCAUGGGUUCAAUUCACUAGCAAUAGUUUUACGUUCCCGUGAGUGGGUUCAAUUCACUGACAAUAGUUUUGGUUUUUGCGCUGUACUCCUCCCUUGCAUGUGUGACUGUUUUUUGUAGUUUGUGCUUUUUGCGCUGUGCUCCUCCCUUGCAGGUGUGACUGUGUUUUGUAGUUUGUGCUUUUUGCGCUGUACUCCCCACACUCACACACACACACACACAGUGAAGGAGCCUCCAUCACAACGCCAGCGAUAUUUCCAUAGUCAUGAUGAGACACGCUGUUUCUUAUAAUCAUGGACACUGAUGGGAUAAGUUGAAGAUAAUUAUUGUCAAGAAAGUAAACACAAGCCCGGCCCGUUACCAAGGAAACAUGACAACAUUGAUCAUCAUUGAAAAUUUUUAGCCUAUGCAGUCAUAAAAUUAAUAUUGUUGUAUUUUUUAAUCUC